AGUGAACGCUGGCGGUAGGCCUAACACAUGCAAGUCGAACGGCAGCACAGUAAGAGCUUGCUCUUACGGGUGGCGAGUGGCGGACGGGUGAGGAAUACAUCGGAAUCUACUUUUUCGUGGGGGAUAACGUAGGGAAACUUACGCUAAUGCCGCAUACGACCUACGGGUGAAAGCAGGGGAUCUUCGGACCUUGUGCGAUUGAAUGAGCCGAUGUCGGAUUAGCUAGUUGGCGGGGUAAAGGCCCACCAAGGCGACGAUCCGUAGCUGGUCUGAGAGGAUGAUCAGCCACACUGGAACUGAGACACGGUCCAGACUCCUACGGGAGGCAGCAGUGGGGAAUAUUGGACAAUGGGCGCAAGCCUGAUCCAGCCAUACCGCGUGGGUGAAGAAGGCCUUCGGGUUGUAAAGCCCUUUUGUUGGGAAAGAAAAGCAGCAGGUUAAUACCCCGCUGUUCUGACGGUACCCAAAGAAUAAGCACCGGCUAACUUCGUG
rnacentral:rRNA from 1 species